UACGAAGGGUGCAAGCGUUAAUCGGAAUUACUGGGCGUAAAGGGUGCGUAGGCGGUUCGUUAAGUCUGUCGUGAAAUCCCCGGGCUCAAUCUGGGAAUGGCGAUGGAUACUGGCGAGCUAGAGUGUGUCAGAGGAUGGUGGAAUUCCCGGUGUAGCGGUGAAAUGCGUAGAGAUCGGGAGGAACACCGGUGGCGAAGGCGGCCAGCUGGCGCUGACCUGACGCUGAGGCGCGAAGGCAUGGGGAGCGAACGGG
rnacentral:rRNA from 1 species